GAUGAACGCUAGCGGCAGGCUUAACACAUGCAAGUCGAGGGGUAUAACACUUCGGUGUUAGAGACCGGCGCACGGGUGCGUAACGCGUAUGUAAUCUACCUUUUACAGAGGGAUAGCCCAGAGAAAUUUGGAUUAAUACCUCAUGGUAUUAUGGAUAGGCUUCUAUUUAUAAUUAAAGAUUUAUCGGUAAAAGAUGAGCAUGCGUCCCAUUAGCUAGUUGGUAUGGUAACGGCAUACCAAGGCGACGAUGGGUAGGGGUCCUGAGGGGGAGAUCCCCCACACUGGUACUGAGACACGGACCAGACUCCUACGGGAGGCAGCAGUGAGGAAUAUUGGACAAUGGGCGCAAGCCUGAUCCAGCCAUGCCGCGUGCAGGAUGACUGCCCUAUGGGUUGUAAACUGCUUUUGUACAGGAAGAAACCCUUCUACGAGUAGAAGAUUGACGGUACUGUAAGAAUAAGGAUCGGCUAACUCCGUGCCAGCAGCCGCCGUAA
rnacentral:rRNA from 1 species